UAAUUGGCUUUACUCAAAGCCACCAAUUUAAAUGUUAAUCUCUUU
rfam:Equus caballus chromosome 15, whole genome shotgun sequence.